rnacentral:rRNA from 1 species
CUUUUACAAUGAAGAGUUUGAUCCUGGCUCAGGAUGAACGCUAGCUAUAGGCUUAACACAUGCAAGUCGAGGGGCAGCAUCAUCAAAGCUUGCUUUGAUGGAUGGCGACCGGCGCACGGGUGAGUAACACGUAUCCAACCUGCCGACAACACUGGGAUAGCCUUUCGAAAGAAAGAUUAAUACCGGAUGGCAUAGUUUUCCCGCAUGGGAUAAUUAUUAAAGAAUUUCGGUUGUCGAUGGGGAUGCGUUCCAUUAGGCAGUUGGCGGGGUAACGGCCCACCAAACCAACGAUGGAUAGGGGUUCUGAGAGGAAGGUCCCCCACAUUGGAACUGAGACACGGUCCAAACUCCUACGGGAGGCAGCAGUGAGGAAUAUUGGUCAAUGGACGAGAGUCUGAACCAGCCAAGUAGCGUGAAGGAUGACUGCCCUAUGGGUUGUAAACUUCUUUUAUACGGGAAUAAAGUUAGCCACGUGUGGCUUUUUGUAUGUACCGUAUGAAUAAGGAUCGGCUAACUCCGUGCCAGCAGCCGCGGUAAUACGGAGGAUCCGAGCGUUAUCCGGAUUUAUUGGGUUUAAAGGGAGCGUAGGCGGGUUGUUAAGUCAGUUGUGAAAGUUUGCGGCUCAACCGUAAAAUUGCAGUUGAUACUGGCGACCUUGAGUGCAACAGAGGUAGGCGGAAUUCGUGGUGUAGCGGUGAAAUGCUUAGAUAUCACGAAGAACUCCGAUUGCGAAGGCAGCUUACUGGAUUGUAACUGACGCUGAUGCUCGAAAGUGUGGGUAUCAAACAGGAUUAGAUACCCUGGUAGUCCACACAGUAAACGAUGAAUACUCGCUGUUGGCGAUAUACAGUCAGCGGCCAAGCGAAAGCAUUAAGUAUUCCACCUGGGGAGUACGCCGGCAACGGUGAAACUCAAAGGAAUUGACGGGGGCCCGCACAAGCGGAGGAACAUGUGGUUUAAUUCGAUGAUACGCGAGGAACCUUACCCGGGCUUAAAUUGCAACUGACGGAACCGGAAACGGUUCUUUCUUCGGACAGUUGUGAAGGUGCUGCAUGGUUGUCGUCAGCUCGUGCCGUGAGGUGUCGGCUUAAGUGCCAUAACGAGCGCAACCCUUAUCGAUAGUUACUAGCAGGUUAUGCUGAGGACUCUAUUGAGACUGCCGUCGUAAGAUGUGAGGAAGGUGGGGAUGACGUCAAAUCAGCACGGCCCUUACGUCCGGGGCUACACACGUGUUACAAUGGGGGGUACAGAAGGCAGCUACACGGCGACGUGGUGCUAAUCCCGAAAGCCUCUCUCAGUUCGGAUUGGAGUCUGCAACCCGACUCCAUGAAGCUGGAUUCGCUAGUAAUCGCGCAUCAGCCACGGCGCGGUGAAUACGUUCCCGGGCCUUGUACACACCGCCCGUCAAGCCAUGAAAGCCGGGGGUACCUGAAGUACGUAACCGCGAGGAGCGUCCUAGGGUAAAACUGGUGAUUGGGGCUAAGUCGUAACAAGGUAGCCGUACCGGAAGGUGCGGCUGGAACACCUCCUUUCU